rnacentral:rRNA from 1 species
UUCCAGACUCCUACGGGAGGCAGCAGUGGGGAAUAUUGGGCAAUGGACGCAAGUCUGACCCAGCAACGCCGCGUGAAGGAAGAAGGCUUUCGGGUUGUAAACUUCUUUUAAGGGGGAAGAGCAGAAGACGGUACCCCUUGAAUAAGCCACGGCUAACUACGUGCCAGCAGCCGCGGUAAUACGUAGGUGGCAAGCGUUGUCCGGAAUUACUGGGUGUAAAGGGAGCGCAGGCGGGAAGCCAAGUCAGCUGUGAAAACUACGGGCUUAACUUGUAGACUGCAGUUGAAACUGGUUUUCUUGAGUGAAGUAGAGGUUGGCGGAAUUCCGAGUGUAGCGGUGAAAUGCGUAGAUAUUCGGAGGAACACCGGUGGCGAAGGCGGCCAACUGGGCUUUAACUGACGCUGAGGCUCGAAAGUGUGGGGAGCAAACAGGAUUAGAUACCCGCGUACU